rnacentral:rRNA from 1 species
UACGGAGGGGGCUAGCGUUGUUCGGAAUUACUGGGCGUAAAGCGUACGUAGGCGGCUUUGUAAGUUAGAGGUGAAAGCCCGGGGCUCAACCCCGGAAUUGCCUUUAAGACUGCAUCGCUUGAAUCAUGGAGAGGUGAGUGGAAUUCCGAGUGUAGAGGUGAAAUUCGUAGAUAUUCGGAAGAACACCAGUGGCGAAGGCGACUCACUGGACAUGUAUUGACGCUGAGGUACGAAAAGCGUGGGGAGCAAACAGGG